GUAGGGGGCGAGCGUUAUCCGGAUUCAUUGGGCGUAAAGCGCGCGUAGGCGGCCGCGCAGGCGGGGCGUAAAACCGCGGGGCUCAACCCCGCGCCGCGCCCCGAACCGCGCGGCUUGGGUCCGGCAGGGGAGGGUGGAACACCCGGUGUAGCGGUGGAAUGCGCAGAUAUCGGGUGGAACACCGGUGGCGAAGGCGGCCCUCUGGGCCGGCACCGACGCUGAGGCGCGAAAGCUGGGGGAGCGAACAGGAUUAGAUACCCUGGUAGUCCCAGCCGUAAACGAUGGACGCUAGGUGUGGGGGGACGAUCCCCCCGUGCCGCAGCCAACGCAUUAAGCGUCCCGCCUGGGGAGUACGGCCGCAAGGCUA
rnacentral:rRNA from 1 species